rnacentral:rRNA from 1 species
GACGAACGCUGGCGGCGUGCUUAACACAUGCAAGUCGAGCGAUGAAGCUCCUUCGGGAGCGGAUUAGCGGCGGACGGGUGAGUAACACGUGGGUAACCUGCCUCAUAGAGGGGAAUAGCCUUUCGAAAGGAAGAUUAAUACCGCAUAAGAUUGUAGUGCCGCAUGGCAUAGCAAUUAAAGGAGUAAUCCGCUAUGAGAUGGACCCGCGUCGCAUUAGCUAGUUGGUGAGGUAACGGCUCACCAAGGCGACGAUGCGUAGCCGACCUGAGAGGGUGAUCGGCCACAUUGGGACUGAGACACGGCCCAGACUCCUACGGGAGGCAGCAGUGGGGAAUAUUGCACAAUGGGGGAAACCUUGAUGCAGCAACGCCGCGUGAGUGAUGACGGUCUUCGGAUUGUAAAGCUCUGUCUUCAGGGACGAUAAUGACGGUACCUGAGGAGGAAGCCACGGCUAACUACGUGCCAGCCGCCGCAGUAACAC